CAUCGACAUUUCGAACGCACAUUGCGGUCCACGGAUACAAUUCCCGGACCACGCCUGGCUGAGGGUCGUU
rnacentral:rRNA from 1 species